CCCCACAUAAAUACCCAUAACUAAAGCUAGAGAAAAAGCAAUAAAAAUUGAUGAGCCUGUAGAUUGCACAAUUCUCUCCCUUUUCUCUCCUCCUUUUCCUCUUUUCUUCUCCUUU
rnacentral:ribozyme from 12 species